rnacentral:rRNA from 1 species
AGUGAACGCUGGCGGUAGGCCUAACACAUGCAAGUCGAACGGCAGCACAGUAAGAGCUUGCUCUUACGGGUGGCGAGUGGCAGACGGGUGAGGAAUACAUCGGAAUCUACUUUUUCGUGGGGGAUAACGUAGGGAAACUUACGCUAAUACCGCAUACGACCUACGGGUGAAAGCAGGGGAUCUUCGGACCUUGCGCGAUUGAAUGAGCCGAUGUCGGAUUAGCUAGUUGGCGGGGUAAAGGCCCACCAAGGCGACGAUCCGUAGCUGGUCUGAGAGGAUGAUCAGCCACACUGGAACUGAGACACGGUCCAGACUCCUACGGGAGGCAGCAGUGGGGAAUAUUGGACAAUGGGCGCAAGCCUGAUCCAGCCAUACCGCGUGGGUGAAGAAGGCCUUCGGGUUGUAAAGCCCUUUUGUUGGGAAAGAAAAGCAGCAGGUUAAUACCCCGCUGUUCUGACGGUACCCAAAGAAUAAGCACCGGCUAACUUCGGGC